CUCUCUCUACUUCUGAUUUACUACCAUAAACAAUUCACUGCCCAAGUCCCCGGCCGGCCGGCGCGUAUUCACUUCAAGUGAAUGCCACUGCCUACGAGUGACCUCAGGUCAGAGUCUGAACUAUUUUUAAGCACUCUGUAUUUCGAUGUGGUGAUGAGAUCACAAGUAAAAUACGGUUACCCUGUCGUACUUGCCCUAAAGGGUAAGAGUACUUCUCAUACACAUUUAUCUCACCUUGAACGCUUGGUUCUUUUGGUAAGUUCAGGAGAUCUUAGUCAACAACAAUGGUAUUGGUUGUACAUUGAUUAUUGUAUCUGUUGAUAUGUCUGUAGUCGACUACAACAUACUGUUUUGUUUUGCUUCUCUUGUAUUGCAACUCCAGUCCCAAUUUUAUAGUAGAGAUGACACUGAAUCAUUAGACAUUUGGGCCGCCAGAAAAUAACAUCUGAAUUCCUGCUACAUAAUUAACAAUUUAACACAGGUUAAUGAAUAGAUGCAUCUGACAAGUAGUGAUGACUACGACAUAUGGUAACCAUGCGAGCAUAUUGUCGAAGUGUUUUGUUUUAGUUUUUAAAACAAUAUUAAAGUGAAAUAGAUUAAGUAGCAAAGUAAACUGUUAUGUAGCAUGCAUCAAUUUCUUAAAUUCAAUGGAAAUAUGUUGUUUUAGAUGGGGUGAUAGAAUAGUAUAUGCUCUGAAUUAUUGUCCUUGCAUAAAUAUUUGUUGCAAUUAUAGUAAUUUUAAUACUCCCUCCGUCCAUAAGUAGAUGUCUUAGAGUUGACUUCUAUUUAUGGACAUUACUAAUACUAUGCAACUCAUGAAAUAUCUGGAUUUUUUUAGUAACCUGGUAGAGGCACCGCGGAAUAAGACCAUAUAAAUGGCUAAUAACAUUGUUGGGAUUUUGGCAUGGCUGGUGAAAGUUUUACGUUUUUCUAUGGAUUCGCGUAUAGUGAUUUGCUUGUUGCACUAUUACUACUAUUAGCUAUUUCCCCACAUUACUAAAAUGUUCCUAUCUAAUGGUUUUGUUUUGUUCGGUCUCAUUUUCAGGUUCAUUUCUUUGGAAAAUUCUCGGAUAUGUGGUUCUUAUAUAUUGGUUUGGGAAAUCUACACCUGACAUUUUGCAAUGGCUAAUGAGAAGAGUAUCUUCGUCAAUGUGCCAAAAUUGAUCGGGAAAUGCAUUUCUUGAUUCAUGGACAUUCACAGUCACCACAGACAUUUGGAUCAGCGGCAGGCCCAAGGCGGCUGCAGCAAGGGCGUCCACGUGCCUGACCUAUCUCUUAAGGCAAGCUAUAGUUUCUAAACUGGAUUGGAUCAGCGACCCGAGGGCAGGAGGCAGAAGGAGGUCUGCUUGGUGUUAAAGGAGAAGAGAUGGCACGGUGGAGAGCAAGGGGCCGGUCGAUGCUGAGAUAGACAAGGAGUGCAGGGUUGGCAUGGAGCUGAACAACAAGGUCAUGCUGCACAACUGUAGUCACACAAGGUGCAUCAAAGUGCUAUCAUCAAUGGUUAGAACCAGAACCGAAUCGCUUUAAUUUUUCUACCAUGUUGAAUCAGAGCACAUAUGUUUUGUUUAAUGCGAGUUCUAAAUGUAGCGUAGCCCAUGCUUCAUUUUGGUCAUGUUAAGUGCUCAAAGGACUGGUUAUGAAAGUGAUUUCAUGUCCUAUUUUGUUACCACACACCCAUUUAUUGUGCGUUGGUUUUAAAUUUUAUCUUUCGAGAUAGGAGCUAGGGAACUAAUUCUGACGUGAAACCUGACUGACAUGUAUUAAAUGGUAUAAAAGAAAGCAGAUAAUGAAACAUAUGAUAUUUCAGUGAUACAAAUUACAAUGAUUCUACGAUGAACACGGUAUCGGUCAUUUUAGAUCUGUUGAAACGCACAUGCGUAUUUUCCAUGAUAUAAAUAUCACUUGUUUUCUACUUUUGUCACUCAAAUGUUUCCCAAACAAGUUCCUAUUUCUGAAGAAAAAAAUGUGUGGGGUUCGGAAUUAGUAUUCAGAGUGAAAUGUUCAUAUGAUCAUUAGAUUCUACUAAAGCUCUCUUACUUCUCUUAGGUGAAAAGUUGCUACUGUUUGAGGAACAGAUUAAUAUUAUACCUUCACAGUAAGGCAUAGUCAAUCUUAUUGCAACAGGCAUAACAAACAAGACUUGAGUUGAUCUCUAUUGCAAAUAUAUCAUCUUAUUGGUUAUCCAUUCAUAUAUAGUUGUGUUCAGCCGAUCAUGCAUUAGUAGCCAGAGAAAAACCUUGAGUUUAGGCAGAGCUUUAGAAGACCAAAUUGCAUUAAGAGCUUCAUCUACAGGAACUUGCCCAAACAGAAAUUUAUAGUAGUUGGAUGGAGUGUAUUUAGCUCCCAACACAAGGGCCCUCUGGUCCAAUG